CACGUAGGGUGCGAGCGUGGUCCGGAAUUAUUGGGCGUAAAGAGCUCGUAGGCGGUGUGUCGCGUCGGCCGGGAAAACUUGGGGCUUAACUCUGAGCGUGCGGUCGAUACGGGCAUCACUUGAGUUCGGCAGGGGAGACUGGAAUUCCUGGUGUAGCGGUGAAAUGCGCAGAUAUCAGGAGGAACACCGGUGGCGAAGGCGGGUCUCUGGGCCGAUACUGACGCUGAGGAGCGAAAGCAUGGGGAGCGAACAGG
rnacentral:rRNA from 1 species